ACUAAGCGUACACGGUGGAUGCCCUGGCAGUCAGAGGCGAUGAAGGACGUGCUAAUCUGCGAUAAGCGUCGGUAAGGUGAUAUGAACCGUUAUAACCGGCGAUUUCCGAAUGGGGAAACCCAGUGUGUUUCGACACACUAUCAUUAACUGAAUCCAUAGGUUAAUGAGGCGAACCGGGGGAACUGAAACAUCUAAGUACCCCGAGGAAAAGAAAUCAACCGAGAUUCCCCCAGUAGCGGCGAGCGAACGGGGAGCAGCCCAGAGCCUGAAUCAGUGUGUGUGUUAGUGGAAGCGUCUGGAAAGGCGCGCGAUACAGGGUGACAGCCCCGUACACAAAAAUGCACAUGCUGUGAGCUCGAUGAGUAGGGCGGGACACGUGGUAUCCUGUCUGAAUAUGGGGGGACCAUCCUCCAAGGCUAAAUACUCCUGACUGACCGAUAGUGAACCAGUACCGUGAGGGAAAGGCGAAAAGAACCCCGGCGAGGGGAGUGAAAAAGAACCUGAAACCGUGUACGUACAAGCAGUGGGAGCACGCUUAGGCGUGUGACUGCGUACCUUUUGUAUAAUGGGUCAGCGACUUAUAUUCUGUAGCAAGGUUAACCGAAUAGGGGAGCCGAAGGGAAACCGAGUCUUAACUGGGCGUUAAGUUGCAGGGUAUAGACCCGAAACCCGGUGAUCUAGCCAUGGGCAGGUUGAAGGUUGGGUAACACUAACUGGAGGACCGAACCGACUAAUGUUGAAAAAUUAGCGGAUGACUUGUGGCUGGGGGUGAAAGGCCAAUCAAACCGGGAGAUAGCUGGUUCUCCCCGAAAGCUAUUUAGGUAGCGCCUCGUGAAUUCAUCUCCGGGGGUAGAGCACUGUUUCGGCAAGGGGGUCAUCCCGACUUACCAACCCGAUGCAAACUGCGAAUACCGGAGAAUGUUAUCACGGGAGACACACGGCGGGUGCUAACGUCCGUCGUGAAGAGGGAAACAACCCAGACCGCCAGCUAAGGUCCCAAAGUCAUGGUUAAGUGGGAAACGAUGUGGGAAGGCCCAGACAGCCAGGAUGUUGGCUUAGAAGCAGCCAUCAUUUAAAGAAAGCGUAAUAGCUCACUGGUCGAGUCGGCCUGCGCGGAAGAUGUAACGGGGCUAAACCAUGCACCGAAGCUGCGGCAGCGACGCUUAUGCGUUGUUGGGUAGGGGAGCGUUCUGUAAGCCUGUGAAGGUGUGCUGUGAGGCAUGCUGGAGGUAUCAGAAGUGCGAAUGCUGACAUAAGUAACGAUAAAGCGGGUGAAAAGCCCGCUCGCCGGAAGACCAAGGGUUCCUGUCCAACGUUAAUCGGGGCAGGGUGAGUCGACCCCUAAGGCGAGGCCGAAAGGCGUAGUCGAUGGGAAACAGGUUAAUAUUCCUGUACUUGGUGUUACUGCGAAGGGGGGACGGAGAAGGCUAUGUUGGCCGGGCGACGGUUGUCCCGGUUUAAGCGUGUAGGCUGGUUUUCCAGGCAAAUCCGGAAAAUCAAGGCUGAGGCGUGAUGACGAGGCACUACGGUGCUGAAGCAACAAAUGCCCUGCUUCCAGGAAAAGCCUCUAAGCAUCAGGUAACAUCAAAUCGUACCCCAAACCGACACAGGUGGUCAGGUAGAGAAUACCAAGGCGCUUGAGAGAACUCGGGUGAAGGAACUAGGCAAAAUGGUGCCGUAACUUCGGGAGAAGGCACGCUGAUAUGUAGGUGAAGUCCCUCGCGGAUGGAGCUGAAAUCAGUCGAAGAUACCAGCUGGCUGCAACUGUUUAUUAAAAACACAGCACUGUGCAAACACGAAAGUGGACGUAUACGGUGUGACGCCUGCCCGGUGCCGGAAGGUUAAUUGAUGGGGUUAGCGCAAGCGAAGCUCUUGAUCGAAGCCCCGGUAAACGGCGGCCGUAACUAUAACGGUCCUAAGGUAGCGAAAUUCCUUGUCGGGUAAGUUCCGACCUGCACGAAUGGCGUAAUGAUGGCCAGGCUGUCUCCACCCGAGACUCAGUGAAAUUGAACUCGCUGUGAAGAUGCAGUGUACCCGCGGCAAGACGGAAAGACCCCGUGAACCUUUACUAUAGCUUGACACUGAACAUUGAGCCUUGAUGUGUAGGAUAGGUGGGAGGCUUAGAAGUGUGGACGCCAGUCUGCAUGGAGCCGACCUUGAAAUACCACCCUUUAAUGUUUGAUGUUCUAACGUUGACCCGUAAUCCGGGUUGCGGACAGUGUCUGGUGGGUAGUUUGACUGGGGCGGUCUCCUCCUAAAGAGUAACGGAGGAGCACGAAGGUUGGCUAAUCCUGGUCGGACAUCAGGAGGUUAGUGCAAUGGCAUAAGCCAGCUUGACUGCGAGCGUGACGGCGCGAGCAGGUGCGAAAGCAGGUCAUAGUGAUCCGGUGGUUCUGAAUGGAAGGGCCAUCGCUCAACGGAUAAAAGGUACUCCGGGGAUAACAGGCUGAUACCGCCCAAGAGUUCAUAUCGACGGCGGUGUUUGGCACCUCGAUGUCGGCUCAUCACAUCCUGGGGCUGAAGUAGGUCCCAAGGGUAUGGCUGUUCGCCAUUUAAAGUGGUACGCGAGCUGGGUUUAGAACGUCGUGAGACAGUUCGGUCCCUAUCUGCCGUGGGCGCUGGAGAACUGAGGGGGGCUGCUCCUAGUACGAGAGGACCGGAGUGGACGCAUCACUGGUGUUCGGGUUGUCAUGCCAAUGGCACUGCCCGGUAGCUAAAUGCGGAAGAGAUAAGUGCUGAAAGCAUCUAAGCACGAAACUUGCCCCGAGAUGAGUUCUCCCUGACUCCUUGAGAGUCCUGAAGGAACGUUGAAGACGACGACGUUGAUAGGCCGGGUGUGUAAGCGCAGCGAUGCGUUGAGCUAACCGGUACUAAUGAACCGUGAGGCUUAACC
rnacentral:rRNA from 1 species